rnacentral:misc_RNA from 1 species
GUUUUCCUCUCAUGGCUUCGCUUCUUCUUCUGACACUCUUCCUCUGUUUCACCUUCACUGCAAUACCCUUUUUCUCGCCGGUUUCAGCUGAACUGGAAGCUAAAACUUACAUAUUCCGAGUUGAUAGCUUCUCUAAACCGGCAGUUUUCCCCACCCAUUACCACUGGUACAGCUCUGAGUUCACUGAACCGGUGAACAUCCUCCAUGUUUAUGACAAUGUUUUUCAUGGAUUUUCAGCUUCGUUGAGUCCUUUUCAAGCUGCUUCAGUACUUCAACAUCCUUCAAUUCUUGCCACUUUUGAGGAUCGUCGGAGGCAACUUCAUACUACAAGAUCACCGCAGUUUCUCGGUUUAAGAAACCAGAAAGGAUUAUGGUCGGAGUCAGAUUAUGGUUCUGAUGUUAUUGUUGGGGUUCUUGAUACGGGUAUUUGGCCGGAGCGUCGGAGUUUUUCCGAUCUGAAUCUGGGUCCUGUUCCUACACGUUGGAAAGGGGUUUGUGAAACGGGACCGCAGUUUACUUCUCGGAAUUGCAAUCGCAAGAUUAUCGGUGCUCGAUUUUUCUCUAAAGGUCAUGAAGCUGCCCCUGGAUUUGGUCCAAUUGGUGGGGGAAUCAAUGAUACCGUUGAGUUCCGAUCACCCAGAGACGCUGACGGUCACGGAACUCAUACAGCUUCAACAGCUGCUGGGAGGCAUGCUUUCCGAGCUAGCAUGUCUGGUUAUGCAUCGGGUAUUGCCAAAGGUGUUGCCCCGAAAGCUCGAUUAGCUGUUUAUAAAGUUUGCUGGAAGAAUUCUGGUUGCUUUGAUUCCGACAUCCUUGCAGCGUUCGAUGCUGCUGUUUCCGAUGGAGUUGAUGUCAUUUCCAUCUCAAUUGGAGGUGGUGAUGGAAUCUCUUCACCUUACUAUCUCGAUCCAAUUGCUAUCGGAGCUUAUGGAGCUGUUGCUAGGGGUGUAUUUGUGUCUUCAUCAGCUGGAAAUGAUGGACCUAAUGGAAUGUCAGUCACUAACUUGGCACCUUGGUUAACUACUGUUGGAGCUGGCACAAUUGAUAGGAAUUUCCCUGCAGAGGUAAUUCUCGGUGACGGGAGGAAGCUUUCCGGUGUAUCAUUAUAUGCCGGAAAGCCACUUAAUGGGAAAAUGUAUCCCAUAGUGUACCCUGGGAAAUCAGGUGUGCUCUCUGCUUCACUCUGUAUGGAGAAUUCACUUGAUCCUCAUUUAGUUAGAGGUAAGAUAGUGAUCUGUGAUCGCGGUAGCAAUCCUCGCGUUGCUAAAGGAUUAGUUGUCAGUAAAGCCGGUGGUGUUGGAAUGAUCCUCACAAAUGGAGUAUCAAAUGGUGAAGGUCUUGUUGGUGAUGCUCAUAUGAUACCAACUUGUGCUGUUGGUGCUAAUGAAGGUGAUAAAAUUAAAGCCUAUAUAUCUAAGAAUCCAACUGCAGCUGCAACGAUCAAUUUCCAUGGAACUAUAAUUGGAGUGAAACCGGCUCCAGUUGUCGCAUCAUUUUCCGGUAGAGGACCCAACGGUCUCAACCCAGAAAUCCUAAAACCGGACCUUAUAGCACCUGGGGUUAACAUUUUAGCUGCAUGGACUGAUGCAGUUGGUCCAACUGGCUUAGAUUUGGAUCAUCGAAAAGCAGAGUUCAAUAUACUUUCAGGCACUUCAAUGGCUUGUCCUCAUGUAAGUGGUGCAGCAGCUUUGCUCAAAUCUGCUCACCCUGAUUGGAGUCCAGCAGCAGUACGAUCUGCAAUGAUGACCACUGCUAACCUCGUCGACAACAGGCUGCUACCAAUGACCGAUGAAGCCACCGGAAAACCAGCUACACCAUACGAUUAUGGUGCAGGACACUUAAAUCUUGACCUUGCAUUAGACCCCGGGCUAGUAUACGAUCUAGCAAACCAAGACUACGUAAGCUUUUUAUGCGCAAUCGAAUACGGCCCCAAGACAAUUCAAGUGAUCACUAAAUCAGCGGUGAAUUGUCCGAUGAGGAAACCAUUGCCGGAGAAUUUGAACUAUCCAUCAAUAGCAGCACUGUUUUCAACCGCAACAAAAGGGGUAUCAAGCAAGACAUUCUUCAGAACAGUAACAAACGUAGGCGACGCAAAUGCAGUGUACAGAGUGAAAAUUGAGGCACCGAAAGGGGUGACCGUGAGUGUAAAGCCGGCGAAAUUGGGAUUCUCAGAGAAGAUAAGGAAAUUGAGUUACUAUGUAACAAUCACAGUGGACAGUAAGAAUCUGGUAUUGAAUGAUUCGGGUGCAGUUUUCGGGUCACUUUCUUGGGUUGAUGGAAAGCAUGUGGUUCGGAGCCCCAUAGUGGUAACCCAAAUGAGCCCAUUGUAAAUAGUAAACUAAUCUUGAUCCUGUUUGUUUAAUCAAGAUUUAUGGGAGAUAAUAUGGAUAGAUGUGCUAAUCACAUUAAACAAGUAGAUUCUACACUUUUUAGAGUGGUUUUUAAGUUUUUAACCUUAGCUUAUUUUGGCUUUAGGGGUUAGAAAAAGCCUAGAACCCAGGGUCAAAAUAUGGGGUUUUGUUUUAAUUUUUUUAAUUCAAGUUUUUG